GACGAACGCUGGCGGCGUACCUAAUACAUGCAAGUCGAACGCUUCUUACUUAUCGAACUUCGGUUCACCAAGUAAGAGGAGUGGCGAACGGGUGAGUAACACGUGGGUAACCUGCCCAUCAGAGGGGGAUAACACUUGGAAACAGGUGCUAAUACCGCAUAAUUCUUUUUUAUCGCAUGGUAAGAAGAUGAAAGGCGCUUUUGCGUCACUGAUGGAUGGACCCGCGGUGCAUUAGCUAGUUGGUAGGGUAAUGGCCUACCAAGGCAACGAUGCAUAGCCGACCUGAGAGGGUGAUCGGCCACACUGGGACUGAGACACGGCCCAGACUCCUACGGGAGGCAGCAGUAGGGAAUCUUCGGCAAUGGACGAAAGUCUGACCGAGCAACGCCGCGUGAGUGAAGAAGGUUUUCGGAUCGUAAAACUCUGUUGUUAGAGAAGAACAAGUACGUUAGUAACUGAACGUACCUUGACGGUACCUUACCAGAAAGCCACGGCUAACUACGUGCCAGCCGCCGCCGUAA
rnacentral:rRNA from 1 species